CAUGUGAAAACAGGGCACAAGCAGAAAUUUCUUCUCCAUUAAUUUGCAAUGAAACAACAUUUUGAAAACUCCUAAUUUUUAUGUCUUAGUUGUUCACUGGUAUCUAUUAGCUUAUUUUAUCACUGAGCUGGUAAUUGCUAGUCAUGGUUCCCAUGGUGGGCCUGCUCAGAAACAAAACAAAAAGGCUGUUCCUGCCCCCAAAGUGCAAAUAGUUUAAAUGUAAGGUAGGAACAAGGAGGUGAUUCACUGACACAAUAGCUGGUACUCAUUAGCGAGUCUAACCAUUGUUGUGGCUUUGUAUGUCUCCCGGGGGGGAAGGAAGGAGGAAAAAAAGAGAAACAGAGAAAAGGAGAAUAAGAAUAAUUCAGUGCUGUUAGGGCCAGACACCUGACUUUCAGAAAUAACAACAUUCACUCAACAGGCAACUCUCUAACAUUGCUGAAGUCGGGUCUAAAAGCAUUUAGGCACUUUCUCAAUUCAGUUGUUAGCCCCUUAAUGUUCUUUAACCCUCAGUGCUACCAUUUAAUUUCCCAUAGGAGCUUGACGUGAGUAUUCAAGGUAAAGAGGGGCUGAAAUGGCAUCUUGCUGUGUAUUCAGGACUGCCUAACAGAAUGCAUGCAGGAGCCAAAACGGGGCUCCUUGGUUGCUGCUGGUCUGCCUUGUCCUGGCUAGUCCUUGCAAGAGAUGCAUUCCUGAUCUGUGUGCAAACAGAUCAAUUUGUGGCUGAAUUCUGCAGGGGGUUAUUCUUUUUAAAGUAUAAAAUGACCAAUGGUUUGCAAAUAGUUCUGGGUCAAUUUAUUGAUGGGGAAAAAACGAGGUAAAGCAGUUUUGGGGUGGGAGGAGGAGCAACAUCUUUUGGCUGAUAAUUGGCCCAGGACAAAGCCAGUCUGAGUGGGGUUAAUGUAUUAGUUGUUCAUGGUGGCUGGGAAGUGUUUCUUACAGGAACCACAGUAUUAAUCAGAAAACAAAGAUGGUCAUCUAGAAAGCCAAUGACAUUCCAGCUGAUUUGAUUAUAACAUAAUGAUUGUUUAAAACUGUCACUUCUAAUUUUGUUAGAAGAAAUAAUACGAGUUACAUCCAUAAGUUGGAGGAAUAUUUGAAACGUCAAGGAGAAAAGUCUCAGGCCAUUAGAGAUGCCCUGCAUUUAGGGGAUGCUGGAGAAGGGGAAAUGGAUUGCCUUGUUCAUGCUAAAUUAACAUAGAGGGACUUAGAGGGUCUUGACCUUUUCUUAACCUUCUACGCUUGAGUUUUAGAAUGAAGUUGCUGUUUUUACCCUCCGAAGCAGGGGGAAAAUAAAUUCCUGGCUUAGGGGGGAAGAGGGAAUAUUUAUCUAAGUCAAAGUGGUGGCUGGAGAGAGGUAUGACGGGGCUGUUUUCUGCUGCCAACUUGGUUCACCUUUAAGUCACAUCGUGUGUUCAAACACAAAAGGAACUGGUUUUGUCCCUCUGUCUUGUGAGAUUUACUCUUAUGUUCUUUUGUGGUGCUGUGGACAAUAUACCAUACCUAAACCAAGCUAGACCUAUCUAAAUUGUUAAGGUUUAAAUGAGCUCUUUGGGUUUGAAUGGCUUUUUAAAGGCUGUUACAUUUUUCCUGUCCAUCUCUGUACCAUCCCAGCAGAAGCACCCGUAGGGAUUUCUGUUUGUCUAAUCAGAAACACCUGACUGGUGCUGAAGUAUGCAACUAUCUGGGGAUGCAGACCCAUGCCCUGUGUGGGUGCACUGAUGGGAUUCUGCAGUUCUGGACAUGUCUCCUCCUUCCUUGGUGGUGAAACUGUGACCUUGGGAGCAGGCUCAAAAGAGGCAGAGAGGUGAAAGCAGAGCGGCCACUUCUGUAGAGGAAGAGCUGAGUUGUGCUACAUGUGAGGCUGCAUGCACCUCCCAGCACCUACAGGCUUCUCUGCUACAGGUGAGAUACAGACCUCCCAAAGCCCAGCCUCUCGUUAACGUGGAAAUCUCAGUGGACUGACUUGAGCUCAAAGCUCUCUGCCUGCAUCUUGCUUCUCUCCCUGUCUUAGUCUUUCUUGCCAUGUAAUCCCACAGUCUGGCAAGCUCCAUAAUAAGUGCAGAUAGAUGAGUGUGUGUACAUCUCCAUUAACAUGACUGUGCAGGCUAAUGAUGGGGACCUCCUGCUGCUCUCCGCUUGUUUUCUGUUGAUUGUUAUGUAAUGUUCGGCAGCGGGAGGUAAAUUCCUCUCCAAUUUUGAGACCCGUUGCAGCAUGCAAACCCCACUGUGAGAAGUCACGGUGAUUGAGCUUUCGAAUCAAGUCCCAUGCUGAUAACUAUAAAUCAGGCCUAUUAUACACUCCGACCGACAGCCGGAAACCUUCCGUACUGCAUGUGGCACAGCGGAGUCUUGGAGCUGCACUGGAGUUUGUUUUGUAACUGCGAACACUUGUGUCUUUGAAAGGCUGUGAUUUAGGUUUGCUGGGAUGUUUGUGUUCUUUCCAGUAAAGGGUCGCGGAAGCGCUGGAUGCUGAAGGUCAGGCUGGUGCUUGGGGUGUCCCUUUGAAGGCUCGCUCCUGCCCUGCGUGCUGUGCUGCGGGAUUGCAGGGCUGGAAAUGAAAGAGCUCUUCUGGUGGCGGGGAUUGUUCCAGCUGCUCCUCGGUCAGCUUUGCCAGGCAGGACUGAUCUGUGCUUUGGAGAGAUGCUCCGAGUUACCUUCUGCUUGCUUUUUUUUGAGGGGCUGAUGUGAUGUGUGUCAAUUUGGGUCAAAAUUUUAAGUAUGCAAAAAGCAGGAGGGAGUGCCAGGAGCCUUCCCAAGCCCUUCCAGCGUAGGUUGCAGACAUCCUUUGGACCUGGAAGUUAAGCAGGACUGGUCCUCGCUCUGGUGACAUGAUCUGGGGGGAGCGGAGCGGCUGUGCGGCAGUGAGACGCACAGAGAAACAGCGGGGUUGGGUCACUGCAGGAGUUGCUGGGUUGGAUGCUGGGGUCUUCUGUUACGCGAGGGGACAACUUAGUUGUUUGUAAGACCAUCCUCAGAGGUUUUUGAAUCUUCCAUCUUCCUGGGAUUAUUUUCAUUUGUUUCUUGUCUAAAUCUUUUUGUCAAUGUUUGCUGGAUAACAACAUGCAAGCUGUUUCAAUGUGCUUCAUAGAAGAGGCUUUUCAGUGAGAUUUCAACUCACUUCAUCAAACUGUUUCUGGAAUUGUGCAGGAAAUGAGGAUUUCUACUCACUGCGCACUGCAGUUUUAAACUCCAGAAACAAAUCUUAACAGAAACUAGGCGCUUUAUUUGUACUGUUCCAAUUAUUAGCCUUUAUGGUAGGUAGGAUAACUCUUCUUUAUUGUUACUGUGAACACAAGGCCACUCAGCAUCUCCUUGUUGCCUUCUCUCAGUGGCUGGGCUGAGCAGAUGCUUGAACUCAGCACAACCUCAGCUGCCCAACUUGGAGGUCUCCAUUUGUGCAGUACUUCGGUACAGUGCUUCCAAAUUCAAUUCUUAGUGCUGCAGCCUGCUGUUGCAACUAUUUUUGGCUGUGUGGAGUUUAGAGAAGGGUAUUGUGUGAGAAGGACCUGAAACAGAAAAGCUGUCAGGAUAUUUCCCCUUCGGAAUAUUGGGUUUCUUAGUGCGCCGUUGACUUGCAGUUUUUGCACUUUUUCUACUUCACUGUUGUACUGCUUAACCUUGCAAGGUUGUUACAGAGCUUAAUUAAUUGAUAGAGUACCUUGAAGCUCUGUGGCUAGAUCCUCAGCUGGUGUCAUCUGGCAUGCUUCCACCCUGUGGAGCAGACCUGCACUGAUGUGUGUGACCAGAGAAUUUGGCUUGUGAAUGCUCUUGCUGAGUACCAUCAUGUACAUGGAGGAACAAAUCCCACAUAAAAGUUAUGCUCAGCUCUCCCAUGAAAGGAGCUGGCCGUGAGGUAGGCCCAAAUAGUUGAGUGACAGGAUCCCAGUAUAAAAUUUCUGUUUUAUCCUUGCUUAAUAGUCAAAGAUUAGCAAGCAUCCAAGUAGAGAUAUAUGGUCUAGACAGCAUCUGAUGGGCUAAAUGAUGGAUGUGAGCUUGAAUGAGGCUUCAGAUUAGCCUCGCAUAAAUAUCCCAGGUGGGUGACAAGGACAUUGGAGGUCACUGAAUUGUAUUUGUGCUCAUUGAUAGCCUUUAUAAACUCCGUACUACUGGAGCAUGUUCCCUUUAGGAUAAAAGGAAGCAUGGACAGAUGUUGUUAUACCCAGAAACUUUUUCCUCAUGAGGUGUGGAACUCAUGUCCUCAUGGCACAAGCAUUGCAAACUUGUUGUAAUAUAUGUUAUUUUUGUGGAGUAUGUGGUAUGUAAGUAGGUAUUUGCAAUGCUUUUUCUUCCUAUCUUUUCCUUUCUUUUUUCAUGCUCCUUCUAACUCUUCUCCCUACCCCACACUCUGUCAGUAAAACCUUAGUUCUCGAAGUUACAAGGAAAAAAGCUUUCAGAUCACUCUGACUUCCUCUUUACAGAUGCUAAUAACUCAUUUUGUAGUGCAUUUUCUAACCUUAUUGCAGGUUCUACACCCAAACUUUACUUUGAGGGCUUGUAAAAUAAAUGUUGUAACCCUGAGUGUAUUUUGACUUUCAGUAAUAUCAGUUAAUGAAAACAGGCAAGCAAUGACAAAAACUUCAACUCCUAACCAAAAAAGCAGCAGGGUUAAGGCUGCUUCCUUCAAAGAAGGCAGUCAACCUAUCUUAAGUGAAUGUCUUUGGUUUCUAACAUUAUCGUGUUAACUGUAAAGGUUGUGAGUGUGUUAAUUAUUAAUGAUAAUUAACCUGGCAUCUUUGGAGUGCUGGGAGAGAAGCUAUGGGAUUAGCAGAUAGGCCCAGUGUAUGCGUAGUUGCUUUUAGUCUGGUCCUUAAAUUUCAAAGUAUGGAUAAUUAAAACCUUUCUACUCUGAUCUCGAGCUUGGUUUAUUUGGCUGUCAUACUGUAAGCUGUUGUCAGUCAGCAUUGUUUUUCUCCGUGCUGUUUAUUUCAGAAGCAUAAGAGUAACAAUAAAAGCAAGUGCUGGCUUGUGAAGCAUUUGAAGUGUUCGGAAGGAGCCCCGACUGUCGCCUUCUGCUCUUUGAUGUUGUGAGGCUUAGAGGGCACGCACGUGUGCUGCUGUUCCAGACGCAGCUCACUUGUUUGUGUUGCUCCUUCCUGAGCCCCCACAAAUUGGACAUCACACGUUUAAUCCGAGAGGCCACUGUCGCACUGCCAGACAGAUCACAUUAAGCCUCUGUGUGAAGUAAGAGUCCCAAAGCUCCCUUUUAAUACUUUACUGAAUCAUUUUUCUUCUGCUGAAAUCAAGUUUUCAUUUUUCCUUCUUUUUUCAUUAAUUGUUUUGUAGGAUGCACUGGAAUCGCAGUCAGGUUCUCUCAGUCUUCUGUCUCUCAAGUACACAGAGAACUCAGGGUAAUUUCAUGUAUUUUAGCUGCGCUCUGUGUUGUGCAUAGCCACUCUUGGUCAUUUCAAAAUCAAGCUUCCUUUGUUUGGCAUAAUUUUCAUUUAGUUGGUCAGUUCCAUGAUAGUUUAAAUAUUGGUGUAGUGCAUUUUAUGCACCAUCUAAUGUACAGAAUAAUGCUGUUAUGUUAUGGGCUUAAGGCUAUUAAGGCUGCUGAGCUUGAGGUAUAGCCGUUUCCUUCAGCAGCUGAAAUGAACUUGGCAUUAUACCAGUUCCUGCGGAAAUUAUAAGAAUGUGCAGAACCAUUCUGCCUCAGACCCAUGGAUCAGAACAGAAGGUCAUCACUCAUUUACGUUGCGGGUGAAAAGGCAUUCCAGGAAACACGAACGCUCUCAAAAGUUGCCACCUCCACCCUUCUAGCUGAAAAACACCCUAUUUAGAAAGGUCUUCACACCAAAUGUUCCCUGGCCAUAUUUCAAAUGCAGGAAAGCAGUCCUGAUUCUAGAGGAAAACCCUAAAUAAUAAAGAUCUUGUCAGCAAAGUGAUGUAGGCCAGAGAGAAGCUAAAGGUGAAUCAAAACUGAAAAAUAAACUGCUUCAUACAGGAAAAAAGGCAUGUUUUUAUGAUUGUAAAAUAGAUUAUAUGUGGCUCCUUAUACCAUAAUUAACACAGAAUAUAGCUUACGCCGCGAAUUGCCGGGUUCAGCCCUAGUCUCUGAGUGUGGACUGAUGCUUCCAAGAGCUUCAAAUUCAGAACUUCUUCACAGCAUUAACUCUUCAGACUGAAAUACUGCUUGGAUACCUUGCUGGAUCGGUUCCUAACUAUCUGCAACAGGUAUCUGACAGCCUCAAUAAAUAACGAACAGUAGGAAGAUGCAAGCUUCGUUGUCCCAAAGGGACUGAGGUGUGAUUAAAUACUGUAUGAGUCUUCUCUGUCUGUCACUCUGAGAUGGCUGAUCAGCACCUGCCCAAACCUAUUCACAUACAUUAGCAGGGGUUCUCCCAAGCAGAACCUCCUUGUCCCAGCUUUAGAGAAGGACUGGUUUGCGUUCAGUCAGCUUGGAGCAGCUGGCAUAUAGCCUGCAGCUGCCUGUAGCUGAUGGUUAUACGUAUUUUACACAAUACUUGCUCUUUUCCUAUCUUUCUUAUUACCGGCCUUUCCCUUCCCAAUCACUUUAAUCGAUCAUGAACUGGUCAGACAACGUUUGACCUUGCUUGAGUCUCAGUCUCACUCUGGGCAUAUCAAGGAGUCUCCCCUCUCGCUCUGAUAAUCGAAGCGAGACAUCCUCCUUUGCCAACCUCCACCUAUGUGCCAACUGCUGAGUGUUGGGGACUUCUGAUGCCUUUCCCAUCCCUCAGUGCCACGCUACAGUGAGAGGAGGGGGCACCUCUGCGGCCCUCUGUCCUUCAGCCUUCUGUGCCCAGCGCCGAGCAAAGGCCGUGCCCGCAGCCUGCCCUGUGCUGCCGUGUGCCUGGGCCCCUCCCCAGCGCUGAGGCCUGGGCUGGGCCCUCACCCCGCAGGGCAGAGUCGUUCCCACUGGAGUGUGUGGAGGGGACCCAGGAGGCCCAGUGCAGAUUCUAAGGUAUGAAAAGUGGAGAGGCACUUACUGAUUUUGCUUAAGAAAAAAACUUCAGGUUUUUAUUGUCAUUAUUAUUUUGUAUUGUUCUUUUAAAUUGUUAUUGUCCAGUUUUGAAACAAAAGUCCUAAUGGAGCAACUGGAAUGGACCUUUGUGCUGAACUUGAGUCCUUCUUUUUGUCCAAACCAAAGUUCUCUGCUUCUCCAAUGGAAAGCUGCCUCUGUACCUUCUCUGACUCUGCCUGGAGGCUGCAGGGAGCUUGAGGCUGUCUGCUGGAUUCCUCCUGAUCCCAACACAGCAGCUGAGAGUACACCAGUUCCAGUCCUGCCCUCUUCUUCAAGACUUGCCUGGAGGCUGCAGGGAGCUCAGGGCUGGAAUCUACCUGUUGUCCCGGCACAGCAGCUCAGAGGACAACAGUCUCGUUAUCUUCCUCAGGACUUGCCUGAAAGCUGCAGGGAGCUUGAGGCCAUCUGCUGGACUCCUGUUGUCCCGAUGCUGAAGCUUAGAAGACACCAGUCCCAGUUCUGCCCUCCUCUUGAGGACUCACCUGGAGGCCACAGGGAGCUCAAGGAUGUCUUCUUGCCUCCUGCCACUGUUCUGGUGCAGAAGCAUAGAGGACGCUAGUUCUAGUCCUUCCCAUUUCCUCAAAGCUUGGGAAAGAAGAGGAAAGAGAAAAGGGAGAGCGGACAGGAUUUCUCAGAACUGCCCAAUGUUGUCCAAUCGUUGUCACUUGUGGACCCACAAAGGCACUGGAGAGCUGAUGAUUAGAUGGAGACCUGAAGAUCUAUGACAGGGCUGCUCAUCAGAAUCUCAGUGCUGGCUUCUACUUUGCCUAACCCAACAAAAGACACGUGCUUAUCAACUGCAGCGGAGCCUCAGCAUGAUUGUAACUGUGCUAAAAGAGGGUGAUCGUCAAGAGAAACAAGCAAACAGAAAAGGCAUGCGACUUCAUUCAAGGAACUCGGAGCCCAUUUCAAGUCAUUGCAUACUCAAGAGAAAGGCUGAGGAAUGGCCAGUGCCUGGAUUUCUGAAUAUUAGGAAGAGCAGGAUGCAUUGAGUCCCACUUUGCAGCAGAGACUUGUGAGCAAACACCAGCCCCUGGGGGAGAAGUGUGGUCCUGUUUACUUGCUGCCAUAACUGCUUCACUGAAGACAAUUUUAAGCUUCCUAGGAAAGUUCAUUAAAAGGUCUCUGUGAAUGUACAAGGGAGUGUAAACACGUUGCCCACAGCAACUUCAACACGUGGCAUGGGAACUGCUGCCCUGAAGGCACCGCUUCACCUGCUCACUGCUCCGCCAGCAGCUCCGCUUACAGCUUGGACUCAUGGCUCCAAUCAAGCGAGCACCCAAAUUCCUAGAGAAAGCUGCAAACCCUAAUUUUCCCUUUCGCUGGGCACCCUGGCUCUCCUUCAGUGACCGUAGACAGGACACCAGCUGUGACCAGGGACAGGCAGGAAGGAAGCAUGCCUCUGGUGCCGGAUGGGGACGCAACCAGAGUCUCGGCCUUCUGCUGCCGUGGUGUGGAUUGAGCGUUUCAUUCACGCAAAUGCACAUUUCCUGGCAGUGCUGGGGCUGGCCUGGAAUCCAGACCUGGUCUGCUCAAGGAUGUCACAUUUAGCAGUGGAUUGUGAAAUGCUUGAGAACGGGAAUUAUAGGAGCAUUAUUUAAUGCUAAGUGUUAUCCACAUCAUAUCUGAAGCUUGAACAUGCCAGGAAAACAUCCUUCACAUACUGCGAAUAAUCUAUCUGAGCUUUCAGGAUCAAUCAUGAAUUGGCUGGUGCCUUCUUGACAAUAGUCUCCAGUGGAAAUCCAUCAGGGACUGGAUUUGCUGAUGCCACUGUUUGCAGAUGAUGGCUGGGUGCUCUCCUCCCCUCCCAGGGAUCCUUCCAGUCCACAGUCUAAAGAAAAGAAAUGUAACGUACUCCUCCUCUCGCCAUCCAUAACUGCACGAGUCUGAUGGCUUCCAGAGGUCCUCAAAGGAAGAUCAAGAUGUGCUUUGUCCUCUGCGGGCCCUGCAACCAAAGACACCAUAAACCUGCAUCUGGACUGGGCUCAGGUGUUGUGGCUGAAUAAAGGAACCUGGAGCACUGCUGCUGAUCUGCAGCUCUGCCUCAUGAGGGAAAGAUUAAAAGCACUGGGAGUGAAGUCAAGCUCGGGAAGAACCUCCUUGGGUGGGCAGAACAAAGUCAUAGUGCCCAUGGGAGGGCAGUGCCAUGUGAUGAGGAGCUGUGCCAGAACUGGAGAAGGCCUGGGUCCUGCUGCAUCUUGAAGGAAGCAGAGAUGAUGGGCUUGUGUGGCUUCAAGCAUAAGGUGGUGCACAUCUUCACUGCAGUGCUUCUGCUUCCCAGUCUCAUCUGAAAGUCCGUCGUUCUGCAUUUCCUGAUUCAUUAUUCUUCCUGUGGUGAAUCACAAUGUCUGGAUUAUUCAAACAAAUUCUGAGGCAGUCUUCUGACUUUUAAAUGCUUCCUGGAAUGACUUUGUGAAAAAUGAGCAGCCAAGCAGUAAACGAAGAGAAUCCCAGGUUCACAGCAAGCCUCAGAGUAACCUUCCAAGGCAUGUGCAUCAAGUUGGCGCUGCACUCUGCUCAUCCCCUGGAAACAACUGCUUCUGAAGGGAAACUUCCUUUGCAGCACCUCAAAAAGUGACGUUUAUUGAAUGAACCUCGCCCCUCGAAGCAGGCACUGUUUGUGUUCAACUGAAGAUAGCCUUAUAGUUUCGUUCCUGCUAAGGAGAUAGCUUGGAUAAUCAUAUUUCACUAAACUGGUACGCAAGGAGUCUUCAGCCCAUCUGACAGCUUUAUUCUUGUGUAAAAAAGGAAGAUUUUGUGUGAAGCAGGGUUAAGCCGUGAAGACAGGAAUUUCAAAAGCUUGGGCAUUAGCAGAACAUGACAGACCUGACCUGAGAUGCAGGGCCUCUUUGUGUGCUUCCUUCAGUGCUCCUUGCUUUCUGCAUAUCACUCAUUUGUGACGGCAGGUCUGGCAACUCUCCCCCAUUAGAUGCUGGAAGGGCUGUCCAUCAGAUGGCUGAGAGCUGAAGCAAUGUUUCUACAUCAUUGCAACCAAUCAGGCAAGCAAAGCAGAUUUCAGAACUGGAGGAACAUUAAUGUACUAAAAUAGGACCGAGUCCUGAAACCCUAGCCUGGCCGGGGGAAAAAAUCUCCAUUGUCUUCAGUGGGAGCUGCCUGGCGUGACGUUACCGCAGUGCCGCUCCGUCAGCACGCAGUGGCAUGCAGCAGGGACAGACCCAGGCGCCGUGCAGUGCAGUGAGCACGCAGCCCCGCCGAGAGCCCACCACGCACAUCUCUGCUUUGCUUCAUCGCUUUGGUCCAAGCUCCUGAGCCAAUGUCUCUGCCCCCAUUCAGCUCCAGGCUUUCCGAAGGUGAGUUUGUGCCACCUUGCCCAGUGUGAUGUACUGACUGGUGCUCUGCUGCACUCAUUACGUGUCCUGGUGGUUUGCAGGAUAGCGCUGUGCAACUUAACAAUUUCACAGUUGCACAGUUGAAGGAGAAGAAGCCAAGGUCCAGAUCCCCAGCACCCAAUUCUCCCAAGGGCCUGGGCCCAUCUGCAGCAAGCAGGGUCACAGGGGAUGGUUUAUAGCAAAAUCUCAUACCUGCAUCCUCCAAAAGCUAAUGCAGUGCCCUGGGGUGCUUGGCCUUUCAGUGCCUGCAGUGAUACUUACACAGAAUGUAUGGGCAGGAGGCUGAGUGCCAACAUCUGCUAUUGGAUCUCAGUUACUGAAGUAUGACUCUGCAAGUUAUUUCAAUAAAUCAACUCUUUGAAAUUUAAUGAGGGAACUGAAACCUGCCCCUGGAUCUGGAUGAUGCCGUGUGAAACAAUGAUGGCCAGUUAGCAGCAGCAUUUCCAAUCCAAGUAUUUAGAAAUCUUGAGUCAGUCUUUCCAAAUCUUAGAAAUAAUGAAAUACGUUUUUGAAAAGAAUAUUUCAGGAUACGUUCAGUUUCUGAUUUCUCAACUUGUUGUGUGCAGCUGAUAACUUGUGAAGCUCUUUCAGCAGAAAUGCAUGGUUUUUAAGCUUGCUUUUAAAAGCUCAGCUCAGCUUCUGACAUAUUUCUGUGUUCUAGAUCUGAGCUUUAACAGCAAGACCAAACAUUCCUGGUGAAUUUAUAUGUGCUAAUAAAUGCCAACUCCUUGCCAAAUUUCCUAUCUCCCACAAUAUGCAAGGAGCAGCAGAAGUGAAAAAUAAAUCUGUGACAGUUUCCUUCUUCUGUACUACAGGUUGCACAAUUUUAAGGC